GAGAUAUAUCUUCUCUCGGAGUCACUGUCGAGAUCUGCCGUCUCUUUGUCUCACGCAGCAGCGACGAAAGAGAUUGCAGAGAAUCCCAAUUCAAAACCUCUACAAUAUUGACUCCUUUACAAGAUUCAAUACUUAACAGCUCGAAGAAGCGAUUAUCAAUCAAAACCGAAGCUUCCAUGAGCGAUAUGAUCCUCAUCGAAUCCAAAAACUUUGGUUCUUGAAGCGAUUGAAGGCUGUUACCACUGUUUCCCUUCUGCCAUAGCCAUCGAUGGAAGAAUACUAGAAGAGUAUUCAUUUUGUUACUAGAAGCUUUGAUUGAGAUCAGCCCCAAUCUCACAAACAAUUUUGAUUGGUAAUUCAAAAGUAAUUGCAGCUGUUUAUGGCCCAAGAGAGAUUCAAUACAAAAGCCAACAAAAGAAUGGUCAUGUAUUGGUGCUGUGUGAGUGUAGUAUGGUAUAGUGAUGUCUUAAUUUACUAUAAAUAAAAGAAUCUUUGGUUGUAUGCGUAUAGUUUUGGUUUAUCAUUCGAUAUAAUGGUCAUGUUCUUGAAACUUAAAAGUACUUAUCUUUUGUUCCUUGGUUGAUUUGUUAUGAUGACGAGGAACCGGCUUGUUGCGCUCAUCACAAAUGUCAAACCUGAAUAGCUACGAGAUGUUAUGUCAGGAGGAUGGUUCUUUGUGCUUCAAAUGAAGACCACUCAGUGGUGGAACCAUUGCUACCACCUGCUGGAGCUAAACCAGGAGAGCGUGUUUCAUUUUCAGGGUAUAUAAUAUAGUGUAAAUUGGCUUAACACCAAACCUCUUUUGAUUGCUUUGGGUACAUACUUUGUAACAUCACUUACUUAAGAACCCUUAUGUCUUAAUAUUUAUAUAGAGUCGAAGGAAAGCCAGAAGAA